CAGUAGCCGCGGUAAUACAGAGGGUGCAAGCGUUGUUCGGAAUCACUGGGCGUAAAGCGCACGUAGGCGGACACUUAAGUCAGAGGUGAAAUCCCAAGGCUCAACCUUGGAACUGCCUUUGAUACUGGGUGUCUUGAGGUCGAGAGAGGUGAGUGGAACUGCGAGUGUAGAGGUGAAAUUCGUAGAUAUUCGGAAGAACACCAGUGGCGAAGGCGACAUACUGGAUCAUUACUGACGCUGAGGCUCGAAAGCGUGGGGAGCAAACAGGAUUAGAUACCCGAGUAGUCCCUGUCUCUUAUAC
rnacentral:rRNA from 1 species